rnacentral:lncRNA from 1 species
AUGACUAAUCAGGGUUGUAUAAGGACCCUGAAAAGGGCAAGUAAGGGUAGGCAGAAGAUUCUUCUAAAAUUGUGCCUGCCUGUCCUCUUUGUGAACCCAAUUCUGCUAUUUGGGAUGGAGAGGAGAGAGCAAAGGGAGGGGCUCAGAACCUUUGGGAAGUCCCCAUAUUUCAAGGGAGGAAUGAUGUUCAAAGUGAAACCCCAAGAAAAGGAGCCUGAGUCCCAGGUCUAUGAUGGAGCUGCUCUCUUUCUGACCUUCCUUGACUUGAACCCUUCUUGCCUUCAGCCCUGGGCCAACAAGGCUUCUCCUCACUUCUGUGUCUACUCCCUACAGCCAAAGCAGCUUCAGUCCGUGCUCUGCUCUUUGACAUCUCCUUCCUCAUGUUGUGCCAUGUGGCCCAGACCUAUGGUUCAGAGGUCAUUCUGUCAGAAUCCAGCACUGUGGGUGAAGUGCCUUUCUUUGAGACCUGGAUGCAGACGUGUAUGCCUGAGGAGGGCAAGAUCCUGAAUCCUGACCACCCCUGCUUCCGGCCUGACUCCACCAACGUGGAAUCCCUGGUUGCCCUGCUCAACAACACCUCUGAAAUGAAGCUAGUGUAGGUGGCCUGGAAGGAUGCAAGUGGGGGCAGCAGUCGGGGUCUUUCUCCUUCAGGGCCAUGCUCUUGCUCCCAUUUUGGUGACCUUCCUCCCACUUCUUCCCAACAGGCAGAUGAAGUGGCAUGAGGCCUGUCUCAGCAUCUCAGCUGCCAUCUUGGAGAUUCUGAAUGCCUGGGAGAAUGGAGUCCUGGCUUUUGAGUCCAUCCAGGUAGCCAUUCCCCCCUGUGCCCAGUAAUGCCCUUUGGUCCCAGGAUGUGACAUCCUCAUUUCCCACCCAUACCACUCUUUACUCUUCUCUCUUCUCCAAAGUUCCAGGUGCCAGUCAUGGAUAUCACUGCAUCUCCUUAGGGUAGAGGGUCUCCCCAUCUGUAGAACUGUAAGACCUAGGUGUCUCCUUCUGUAGCCUUGGUCAUUUCUGGGUCUCUAGGUCACUUCUCCCUCUCCCUCCCAGCCCUCAGUGUCAGUGUGAGCAUCCUGGAUUAUGGUGGGCCCAGGGCUCAUCUUGCUGAGAUCUGAUGCUUCCCCAGGGGCAGCAGUGUCCAAGGAAAGGGUGUAGGGCAGGGCUUGGGGUUGGGGUUGGUAGCUGCAGCUAACAUGUUUCCCAUCCCAGAAAAUCACAGACAACAUCAAGGGAAAGGUGUGCAGCCUGGCAGUGUGUGCUGUUGCUU